AUUGAACGCUGGCGGCAGGCUUAACACAUGCAAGUCGAGCGGAGUGAUGGUGCUUGCACUAUCACUUAGCGGCGGACGGGUGAGUAAUGCUUAGGAAUCUGCCUAUUAGUGGGGGACAACAUCUCGAAAGGGAUGCUAAUACCGCAUACGUCCUACGGGAGAAAGCAGGGGAUCACUUGUGACCUUGCGCUAAUAGAUGAGCCUAAGUCGGAUUAGCGAGUUGGUGGGGUAAAGGCCUACCAAGGCGACGAUCUGUAGCGGGUCUGAGAGGAUGAUCAGCUACACUGGGACUGGGACACGGCCCAGGCUCCUACGGGAGGCAGCAGUGGGGAAGAUUGGACAAUGGGGGGAACCCUGAGCCAGCCAUGCCGCGUGUGUGAAGAAGGCCUUAUGGUUGUAAAGCACUUUAAGCGAGGAGGAGGCUCUUUUGGUUAAUACCCAAGAUGAGUGGACGUUACUCGCAGAAUAAGCACCGGCUAACUCUGUGCCAGCCGCCGCCGUAA
rnacentral:rRNA from 1 species